AUGGCUUCCCUUGAUGAUUCUCCACCUUAUUAUCUCCAUUCAUUAGACCAACUAGGCCAAAUACUUGUCAAACAACCUCUUAAUAGCGAUAACUAUGCCACUUGGAACCGAGCCAUUACCAUGACACUUGAAGCCAAAAACAAACUUGGUUUUAUUGAUGACAUCCUUCUUAAACCUGAACCUAACAAUCCAAAUUUCUCUCAUUGGAUCCGUUCUAAUAGUAUGGUCCAAUCUUGA